UACGAAGGGUGCAAGCGUUAAUCGGAAUUACUGGGCGUAAAGCGCGCGUAGGUGGUUUGGUAAGUUGGAUGUGAAAGCCCCGGGCUCAACCUGGGAACUGCAUCCAAAACUGCCUGACUAGAGUACGGUAGAGGGUGGUGGAAUUUCCUGUGUAGCGGUGAAAUGCGUAGAUAUAGGAAGGAACACCAGUGGCGAAGGCGACCACCUGGACUGAUACUGACACUGAGGUGCGAAAGCGUGGGGAGCAAACAGGAUUAGAAACCCCCGUAGUCC
rnacentral:rRNA from 1 species